CACCAUGAAAACGGCACUCAUUCUCGUAGGAAAGCGCGUGGGCAAGGCGGUGUAACCGCCGGGCGAAAACCUCCCAUGCGCAACACACAGGCUCCCUCGGGGGCCUUUUUUAUUGCCCAAAA
rfam:Mesorhizobium metallidurans STM 2683, WGS project CATM01000000 data, contig: ANX_1634_Contig_62